CGCAUUGGAUUUGAGGCGUCUUUUAUAUGUUAAUUCAUGUCAAAGUGGCUUAAAAUUUACCACUCUGGUACGAUUUAAAGAGUAUUUAAGAUCAACCUUGAUUAAGAACGCGCGAUGACGUACCAUCUCAUGUAGUACGUUCGACCUGCUUGUCAGGCUCAUUCGUAUACGACACUCAACUUUUGAGCUCAAAUCAGGUAAGAAUACCCGCUGAACUUAAGCAUAUCAAUAAGCGGAGGAAAAGAAAAUAACAAUGAUUCCCUCAGUAACGGCGAGCGAAGAGGGAUAAGCUCAAAUUUUAAAUCUGUUGGGUUUCACCUAACAGAGUUGUAUUUUGAAGAAACGUUUUCUGCGUCCAGGAUUAGCCUAAAUCCUUUGGGAUAAGGUAUCAUGGAGGGUGAGAAUCCCGUUCAUGGUUAAUCUUAAGGAUGCUCUACGAUACGUUCUCCAAGAGUCGAGUUGUUUGGGAUUGCAGCUCAAAAUGGGAGGUAAAUUUCUCCUAAGGCUAAAUAUUGGCGAGAGACCGAUAGCGAACAAGUACCGUGAGGGAAAGAUGAAAAGAACUUUGAAAAGAGAGUUAAACAGUACGUGAAAUUGUUGAAAGGGAAACGAUUGAAGUCAGUCAUACCAACGGGAAAUCAACCUCUUGAGUUUGGUCUCGUGGGUUUCGAAGAGUUUAAAAGCCUUCGGAUUUUCGAGAUUGGGUUCUUCUGGUGUACUUUCUCGUACGGUUAGUCAACAUCGGUUUUGAAUGUCAUAAAAUGACUGGAGGAAUGUGGCUUGGAUCUCGUAUUCAAGUGUUAUAGCCUUUGGUAGAUGUGAUGUUCGAGACCGAGGAUUGUGCAAUGGAUACCCUUCUGGGCUAUUCGUCUGAUCUCUGAAACGUUGCCUUGAUGUCGAAAGCUUGCUUAUGAUGUUAGGGUAUUACGGUCAAAAGGUUAGAACGGAUUAAAUUCGUUAAGGAUGUUGACGUAAUGAC
rnacentral:rRNA from 1 species